AGUGAACGCUGGCGGUAGGCCUAACACAUGCAAGUCGAACGGCAGCACAGUAAGAGCUUGCUCUUACGGGUGGCGAGUGGCGGACGGGUGAGGAAUACAUCGGAAUCUACUUUUUCGUGGGGGAUAACGUAGGGAAACUUACGCUAAUACCGCAUACGACCUACGGGUGAAAGCAGGGGAUCUUCGGACCUUGCGCGAUUGAAUGAGCCGAUGUCGGAUUAGCUAGUUGGCGGGGUAAAGGCCCACCAAGGCGAGGAUCCGUAGCUGGUCUGAGAGGAUGAUCAGCCACACUGGAACUUAGCCACGGUCCAGACUCCUACGGGAGGCAGCAGUGGGGAAUAUUGGGCAAUGGGCGCAAGCCUGAUCCAGCCAUACCGCGUGGGUGAAGAAGGCCUUCGGGUUGUAAAGCCCUUUUGUUGGGAAAGAAAAGCAGCAGGUUAAUACCCCGCUGUUCUGACGGUACCCAAAGAAUAAGCACCGGCUAACUUCGUG
rnacentral:rRNA from 1 species